rnacentral:lncRNA from 1 species
AGUUAACGCAAUUAUUACAGGGUCCUGGAACGAUAUACAUCCUCCUCAACUGACAGGAUUAAGAGAUUAAAGCAGACAGGCAUAGGAAAUCACAAGGAUAUUGAUUGGGGAAGUGAUAAGUGUCCACGAAAUCUUUACAAUUUAUGUUUAGAGAUUGCAGUAAAGACAGGCAUAAGAAAUUACAAAAGUAUUAAUUUGGGGAACAAAUACCCUUAUCCCUUCCCCAGGACUUGGGCUCAUGCCUGCCCACAUCUGAUGUGAGCUCCUAGCUCCUGUUCAACUGGAGCUGGCUCAGCUCCUCACCCAGCUAUGUGAAAGCCAGAGGGCUGCCGAGUCUCAAGGUGAGGCCCCAGCAGAGCCAAGGAACCAUUCCUCUUCCAAAAUUCUUACCAAAUACAUAAGAGAGUCCCAAUAGCCUUGCCAGAGUCAAAGAUAAUUCCCAUCUCUGUGGCAAGCUCUCUAAAUCUCUGUUCUCCAUCCCAUAUUGUUCACACCCAGAGAAAGGAAGUGUUUCUCUUGGAAAUCAAGGCUGGCCAUGCACCCGCAAUCUUAAUCACUAACCUUAAAAGCCAUAAUGUCUUCAAAUUUUUAACUGUACAGGUUCACAAUGAAUGGAGAGGCUAUGGCGUUAUACUUAAAUGUCAAAUAAAUGUGUUAUAUUUCUCUCACUGAGAACUAUUGAGGAUUGAAGUGAUAGAGUUGAUUA